rnacentral:SRP_RNA from 1 species
GCCGGGCAUGGUGGCGCACACCUGUAGUCCCAACUAUUUGGGAGGCUGAGGCUGGAGGAUCACUUGAGCCCAGGAGUUCUGGGCUGCAGUGCUAUGCCGAUCGGCAUAAACACUAAGUUUAGCAUCAGUAUGGUGACCACCAGGGAGCCGGGGGACCACCAGGUUGCCUAAGGAGAGGUGAACCGGCCCAGGUCUGAAAUGGAGCAGGUCAAAACUCCCGUGCUGAGCAGUAGAAAAUGUAAGUAUGUCUGGCGGUGACCCUUAAUGUAGCAGGUGGAAUUUUU